rnacentral:rRNA from 17 species
AAGGCGCGGUAACGCGCGCUGGAGGUCCGAACCCACACCUGUUGAAAAAGGUCGGGAUGAGUUGUGCCUAGGGGUGAAAGGCCAAUCAAACUCGGAGAUAGCUGGUUCUCCGCGAAAUCUAUUUAGGUAGAGCGUCAUCCGAAUACCCUCGGGGGUAGAGCACUGGAUGGGUAAUGGGGCCCCACAGGCUUACUGAUCCUAACCAAACUCCGAAUACCGAGGAGUACUAGAUGGCAGACAGACGGCGGAUGCUAACGUCCGUCGUCGAGAGGGAAACAACCCUGACCUCCGGCUAAGGCCCCCAAUUCAUGGCUAAGUGGGAAAGCAGGUGGGACGACCAAAACAACCAGGAGGUUGGCUUAGAAGCAGCCACCCUUUAAAGAAAGCGUAAUAGCUC